GCAAAUCAAUAUAAAUUGAUUAAUAUUUAUUUAUUAAUUUUUUUUAUUUUUAUUUAUAAUUUAUUAAAAAUAAUUAUAUAAUUUAAUGUUUUAGUAAUUUUUAAUGAAAAAAUAAUAUUAAUAAUAGUGAAUUAUGUAUUGUUAAAGAUAAUUGAAAUAAUUUGAAAAAUUUUUAAAUAAAAAGAAAAUUUUAUUUAUUGUACCUUGUGUAUCAGGGUUUAUCAAAUAGUUAAUAAUUAUUUAUUAAUCUCGAUUUUAUAAGAGUUAAUAAUUUAUGAAAGUUAAUGUAUUAAAAUUAUUUUUAAUAAGUUAUUAGAAAUGAAAUGUUAUUCGUUUAUAAAGGUAUCUAGUUUUUUUAGAAAUAAAUUUAAUUUACAAAUUUUUAAUUUUUUAUUUAUUUAUUUAAUUAAAAAAUUUAUUAAUUUGAAUAUUUUAGGGGAUAAGCUUUAAAAUAAAUUAUUAAAAUUUAAUAAUUAUUAUAAAAAAUGUAUGUAUAAAAUAAGCAAUCAUUUUUAAGUUUGUUAUAAAUUAUUCUAUAAUUAUAUUAUUUAUUAAUAUUUUAAAUUUUUAUAAAAAUAAUUUUAUUAAUUUUUUAUAAAAUAUAAUAAUGAUAAAAUUAGUAUAUUUUAUUGUUUAAAUAAUUUUAUAUGAUAAGUUUAUAUAAAGAACUCGGCAAAUAAUAUACUCGCCUGUUUAACAAAAACAUGUCUUUUUGAAUUAUUUUUAAAGUCUAACCUGCCCACUGAAUAAUUUUGAAUGGCCGCAGUAUUUUAACUGUGCAAAGGUAGCAUAAUCAUUAGUCUUUUAAUUGAAGGCUGGUAUGAAUGGUUGGACGAAGUAUUAUCUGUUUCAUAUAAAUUUAUAAUAGAAUUUUAUUUUUUAGUUAAAAAGCUAAAAUUUUAUUAAAAGACGAGAAGACCCUAUAAAUCUUUUAUAUUUUUUAUUAUUUAAAUUUUUUAGAUAUAUUUUAUUUUUUUAAUAAUAAAUAUUUUGUUGGGGUGAUAUUAAAAUUUAAUAAACUUUUAAUUGUUUAAAAAUCAUUAAUUUAUGAUUUAUUGAUCCAUUGAUAAUGAUUAUAAGAUUAAGUUACUUUAGGGAUAACAGCGUAAUUUUUUUGAGAGUUCUUAUCGAUAAAAAAGUUUGCGACCUCGAUGUUGGAUUAAGAUACAUUUUUAGGUGUAGCUGCUUAAAGGUUAAGUCUGUUCGACUUU
rnacentral:rRNA from 1 species